rnacentral:rRNA from 1 species
CCGUAACUAUAACGGUCCUAAGGUAGCGAAAUUCCUUGUCGGGUAAGUUCCGACCCGCACGAAAGGCGUAAUGAUUUGGGCACUGUCUCGACAAUGCACCCGGUGAAAUUGAAAUACCAGUGAAGAUGCUGGUUACCUGCGCCAGGACGGAAAGACCCCAUGGAGCUUUACUCUAGCUUGAUACUGGGGUUCGGUAUUGCAUGUACAGGAUAGGUGGGAGACUGAGAAGAUGUGUCGCCAGAUGCAUCAGAGUCGAUGUUGGGAUACCACCCCUGCAGUACUGGGCUUCUAACCUGCAGCCGUGACCCGGCUGGGGGACAAUGUCUGGUGGGGAGUUUGACUGGGGCGGUCGCCUCCGAAAGGGUAUCGGAGGCGCUCAAAGGUUCCCUCAGAAUGGUUGGAAACCAUUCGAAGAGUGCAAAGGCAGAAGGGAGCUUGACUGCGACACCGACGGGUGGAGCAGGUACGAAAGUAGGACUUAGUGAUCCGGUGGUAUAAAGUGGGAUUGCCAUCGCUCAACGGAUAAAAGCUACCCUGGGGAUAACAGGCUUAUCACUCCCAAGAGUUCACAUCGACGGAGUGGUUUGGCACCUCGAUGUCGGCUCAUCGCAUCCUGGGGCUGUAGUAGGUCCCAAGGGUUGGGCUGUUCGCCCAUUAAAGCGGUACGCGAGCUGGGUUCAGAACGUCGUGAGACAGUUCGGUCCCUAUCCGGCGUGGGCGUAGGAUAUCUGAGAGGAGCUGUCCUUAGUACGAGAGGACCGGGAUGGACUGACCUCUGGUGCACCGGUUGCAUUGCCAAAUGCAUAGCCGGGUAGCCAAGUCGGGACGGGAUAAACGCUGAAGGCAUCUAAGCGUGAAGCCCCCCUCAAGAUGAGAUAUCCCUCAGAAAUGAGUAAGACCCCUUGAAGACUACGAGGUAGAUAGGAAUGAGGUGUAAGCACAGCAAUGUGUUCAGCUGACAUUUACUAAUCGGUCGAGGGCUUGACCAA